rnacentral:rRNA from 1 species
CGUGUAGGCGGAUCGGUGUGUCGGAUGUGAAAUCCCUGGGCUCAACCCAGGAACUGCAUUUGAAACUGCCGGUCUCGAGUGGUGGAGAGGGAAGUGGAAUUCCUGGUGUAGAGGUGAAAUUCGUAGAUAUCAGGAGGAACACCAGUGGCGAAGGCGGCUUCCUGGACACCAACUGACGCUGAGACGCGAAAGCGUGGGGAGCAAACAGGAUUAGAUACCCUGGUAGUCCACGCUGUAAACGAUGGGCACUAGGUGUCGCGGGUUUUGACCCCCGCGGUGCCGUAGCAAACGCGUUAAGUGCCCCGCCUGGGGAGUACGGCCGCAAGGCUAAA